rnacentral:rRNA from 1 species
GACGAACCGUGCGACCGUUAUUCGGAAUCACUGGGCUUAAAGCGCGUGUAGGCGGCCCGGCACGUCAGUCGCUGAAAUCCCCCGGCUCAACCGGGGAAGUGGCGUUGAUACGACCGGGCUGGAGGGGGGUAGGGGGGACGGGAACUCACGGUGGAGCGGUGAAAUGCGUUGAGAUCGUGAGGAACGCCCGCGGCGAAAGCGCGUCCCUGGACCACACCUGACGCUGAGACGCGAAAGCCAGGGGAGCGAACGGG